rnacentral:rRNA from 1 species
GGGGAUAACUACUGGAAACGGUAGCUAAUACCGCAUAACGUCGCAAGACCAAAGAGGGGGACCUUCGGGCCUCUUGCCAUCGGAUGUGCCCAGAUGGGAUUAGCUAGUAGGUGGGGUAACGGCUCACCUAGGCGACGAUCCCUAGCUGGUCUGAGAGGAUGACCAGCCACACUGGAACUGAGACACGGUCCAGACUCCUACGGGAGGCAGCAGUGGGGAAUAUUGCACAAUGGGCGCAAGCCUGAUGCAGCCAUGCCGCGUGUAUGAAGAAGGCCUUCGGGUUGUAAAGUACUUUCAGCGGGGAGGAAGGGAGUAAAGUUAAUACCUUUGCUCAUUGACGUUACCCGCAGAAGAAGCACCGGCUAACUCCGUGCCAGCAGCCGCGGUAAUACGGAGGGUGCAAGCGUUAAUCGGAAUUACUGGGCGUAAAGCGCACGCAGGCGGUUUGUUAAGUCAGAUGUGAAAUCCCCGGGCUCAACCUGGGAACUGCAUCUGAUACUGGCAAGCUUGAGUCUCGUAGAGGGGGGUAGAAUUCCAGGUGUAGCGGUGAAAUGCGUAGAGAUCUGGAGGAAUACCGGUGGCGAAGGCGGCCCCCUGGACGAAGACUGACGCUCAGGUGCGAAAGCGUGGGGAGCAAACAGGAUUAGAUACCCU